AUUGAACGCUGGCGGCAGGCUUAACACAUGCAAGUCGAGCGGGGUGAUGGUGCUUGCACUAUCACUUAGCGGCGGACGGGUGAGUAUGCUUAGGAACCUGCCUAUUAGUGGGGGACAACAUCUCGAAAGGGAUGCUAAUACCGCAUACGUCCUACGGGAGAAAGCAGGGGAUCACUUGUGACCUUGCGCUAAUAGAUGAGCCUAAGUCGGAUUAGCUAGUUGGUGGGGUAAAGGCCUACCAAGGCGACGAUCUGUAGCGGGUCUGAGAGGAUGAUCCGCCACACUGGGACUGAGACACGGCCCAGACUCCUACGGGAGGCAGCAGUGGGGAAUAUUGGACAAUGGGGGGAACCCUGAUCCAGCCAUGCCGCGUGUGUGAAGAAGGCCUUAUGGUUGUAAAGCACUUUAAGCGAGGAGGAGGCUCUUUUGGUUAAUACCCAAGAUGAGUGGACGUUACUCGCAGAAUAAGCACCGGCUAACUCUGUGCCAGCAGCCGCAGUAA
rnacentral:rRNA from 1 species